rnacentral:rRNA from 1 species
GAUGAACGCUGGCGGCGUGCCUAAUACAUGCAAGUCGAGCGAACGGACGAGAAGCUUGCUUAUCUGAUGUUAGCGGCGGACGGGUGAGUAACACGUGGAUAACCUACCUAUAAGACUGGGAUAACUUCGGGAAACCGGAGCUAAUACCGGAUAAUAUUUUGAACCGCAUGGUUCAAAAGUGAAAGACGGUCUUGCUGUCACUUAUAGAUGGAUCCGCGCUGCAUUAGCUAGUUGGUAAGGUAACGGCUUACCAAGGCAACGAUGCAUAGCCGACCUGAGAGGGUGAUCGGCCACACUGGAACUGAGACACGGUCCAGACUCCUACGGGAGGCAGCAGUAGGGAAUCUUCCGCAAUGGGCGAAAGCCUGACGGAGCAACGCCGCGUGAGUGAUGAAGGUCUUCGGAUCGUAAAACUCUGUUAUUAGGGAAGAACAUAUGUGUAAGUAACUGUGCACAUCUUGACGGUACCUAAUCAGAAAGCCACGGCUAACUACGUG